AGCGCGGCCUGAUUGGCCCUUUGAACCGGGCGUGGGAUUGGCCGUCGCCUGCCCACCCCGCGGCUGCAGCGUUCCCUGGGGCCUAGCCAACCGCGGGCAGGGCUGGGCAAGGCGGGAGGAGCGCGGACCCAAGAUCGGCUACGCUGCGUCUGCUCAGGCUGCGAGUUCCCGGCUCUGGGGACUCACCUUGCGGAGCUUACCCAGGCGGACUCUCCGCAGCCCCUGAUGGGUGUGUGUGUCAGACCGUUUACUAAACACCAGGACUGUUGUAGGCGACUGUAAGAAAUAAGAAUAUUGCAUGGUUACAAUUCUUGAAUGCUUACCUUGUGUCUUGUUCCUUACUCUACAGAAAUUUUCUAAUCCCGUGGCGAACCCCCGUACUUCAACAAAAGAAAACUGAGAUCCAGGAAAGGGAAGUGAUUUUCCAAAGACACACCUGUGAAAGGUGAGGAGAACAGCCCAGUGAGGCUGAGGCCACACAAUUAACCCCAGUCUUUGCACUACAACUCUACCAGGGAUCCUGGUUUGGCUCAUUUUCUUUCUUCUGCACCAUGAUUGUUCACCUUUUCAUUACCAGCAACAUACCCAAAGACCUAGCUAUAGACUCGUUGGAAUCUGUUACUUAGCAGCUGUGUGAAUCAAGUGUUCAAUAGGAAUAAUAAGAUGUAUUCAUCUUACCUUUUCAGAACAUUAUGAAGAACAAAUGUGGUAAGACAUAUGAAAAUGCUUUGUAAAGUGUUAGAUGCUUAAUACACAGAAGACAUUGCUUCCAGAUCUGUUUCAACGUACCCCAAGAAUGGAAUAAGUGGAAUAUGCUGGUUUCAUGCACUGUGGCAAGGGGGUCUCAUCUUGGCUAGACUUGAAUAAGUGGAUUUGUUGCCUGGCCUCUGUGGAUGGCUCUUUCUCUGGGCUUUUGUGUAUUUGAUUUUUUAUUUGCUCCAGCAGCCGUGUUGAACCAUGAAAGGACCUCAGGAAUGAAACCCACACACAGCAAAGCAACAAAGUGAAAGAAGCGUGGAUUCCUAAUGCAGGAGGCACUGAACCAAUCAAUACCCACUGCCCUCCAGACCUCCACAUGAAAGAAAAAAACUGCUGUCCUGUAUUCCUUUAAGCCUCUCUGAAACUUGACCCUCUGGCAGGAACAGGUGCCAUUACAUACAGACACUCUCUCUCUUCCAAAUUCACCCUGUCAUAUCAAAGGGAAAACUGAAGUGGUCCACUGUAGACCUGACAGAUGAUCACAAACAGGAAACCAGCAAUCAGAAGUGCCUACUGAGCUCCCUACCCUGACCAUCACCUACAGCUACAUUUUACAGAUACAAAAUCAUUGUUUGUUCAACUUUCAUAUCAAAGGAUGCUAUUAGUUCAUUUCCAAAGGUGGGAAAAUGUUUCAACUUACUUUAUUACUUGUCUGCUACUUACUAUUUUCCCUCCGUUUGCCUGCCUGACUUCUUUUAACUCUUCACUCAACAAAUAUCUACUGACUACUGAGCACUUGCCAAGUGCUAGGCCAGAGCUGGAUGCUGUACUACGGGCAGAUGAAGUGCUAUGGGCAUCCAGAGGUGGAAGAAGAGGGUAUAGCGAAAGGGGAGAAAAGGCUGCAACAAUAUUCACUGAGCCCUGUGCUCCCAGGUCAUCACAUAGACUAUGUCAUUAUUCCUCCUAACCACCCACAUGAGUAAAUAGGGGCUAUUACUGAAGAAACAGAGGCUUACAAAGGUUGAGCAACUUGCCCAAGGUCAUCUAUCACAAGACACUACAAGUCAGACUGCUGAAGAGGGAGUUUCUGCUGAGAAGCUGAAGUGGGCAGCUCAUAUUGGAUAUGAAGGCUUCAAAGGAAUCUAAAUCCUAAUGAUCCCUCUAGAGCCAACAUGCAGCACCAGUUUUCUCUUCCACAUUUGAACUGCUCAUCCACUUCCGGCUCCAAGACCUCACUCUCCAUCUAAACUAGUCCCACGCCAUCCAUAUCUUUCUCCACUAACGCCACCCAAUCACAACCCCACAGCCUCUUAGUCAUGAGUCAUUUUUUAAAAACUGCAAACCAUGUAAUGAGCCAUGGCAAUAUGCAACCCUAAACCUCAACACGUGUUUUCCACAACAAGGCCACAGGUGGCAGAAGCGAGCCUAAGGCCGUAGGACACUAAGGCAGGACUCUCUGGCUUGAGCUUUCCAAAAAGGGAGGUGAGAGAAGGUCUACCUGCGGGAAGUCAUGCUGAAGGCCUGAGGCUGAGUCAAAGAAGGAGCCCCCUGGAGGCUCUGCAGUUCCUGGACUUCAGGUAGAGGAACUCUGCCAUGAACACCUCUGGAAUCGUGUCAUUUUGGGACAAUUAGAGAAUAUCAGUUUUCAGACUGAGUUCUAUGGGAAGGUGCCUGCACAACAAAGGAGAGACGGAAUGGACUUCAGGUCUUCCAAAAUACCCCUCAUGUUCACCAAGUUGCUCUCUGCUCUAAGAUACCAGAUGAGGGGGCCAGUGGGGACUGAAACCCAGUCCCCAGUCUGCUGGCCAAUCCCUUUGCCUGUGAGGCUGCUCUGUCCUACCAGAGAGGGCACUUUUCAUAAUUUGCACCAAGUACAGAAUAGGAUAGUGUAGCUUUACCCUUCUCCCUACCAUCAACCACAGACACAUCAACACAUGCACACAUACAGCCACACAAAUAUACCUACAGGCAUACACAUACAACACAGGCACAUACAUGUUUGCACAAAGUCACAUGUAGACACAAACGCAGAGCACACAGACACAAACACAGGCACAAACCCAUACUUACACUACACACACACACAAACACACACAGACACACAAAUGCAAAUUAAGCCACAAUGUAGCACAUAGAGAUAUAGACACAGACGCAAAUACAGUCACAUAGAGAUAUAGACACACACUUAUACACACAUAUAUGUAAAUAUACAGUCUCAUUCACUUUAUACCACACAUGUAUAAACAUACACAAUUGUAUGUAGACACACAUACACAUAGGUACUCAGACCGCAUAGAUACAUAUGUACACACAUACAAAUAUAUGCACAUACACAGAUAUAUAUAUACACACAUGCAUCUUUAACCAGAACAACUUUACUUUUGUCAGUUUUAUAUGACAGAGUCUUUAAAAAAAGAUUUCAUCUGGCUUGUGUUCUACUAUUAAAAGA
rnacentral:lncRNA from 1 species